UGUAUUGGAUCUUGUGCUAUAAAUACCUAGAGGGCAUUGCCCCCUCCAAUUUAGGGGUAUAUAUAUCGAUUGGGGAAUCAGGGAUGGAGAAAAGUCUGGGAACUGUGGCGGCGGCUGCGACAACCAAUGGAGUCGAGGGGGAAUCCAUUCCGCGAAGGUUCUCGCGGGAGAAGGGGUCAUUCGAGGUUAGGGAAUAGGGUUUAUUGACGAUAUUUUCUUUCCUACGACGUGGACCCUACCUUACUUCCCACACUAUCGUUGCCGCCAGAUGAAAGGGAUAGAGUAGG
rnacentral:lncRNA from 1 species